CAAGUUGGAGCAAGGUUUGAAGUUUUUGAAAAUUUUCAAGGAGCAUACGAGCAAGAUUUGCAUUUUGGAUGACGUUUCCUUCUAUGAGGUUCGACAGAAGAUUAUUUUGGAGAAGAAAGCGAAGCAACAGCAAACCCACAAACAGGUAAGUGAGGAUAAUAGUACAGAAGAUGAGAAAAAGAAAUCUGCAACUGCUGAUCCUGCUCAUAAGGAAUCUCCUCCAGGUGCUCAAACUAUCGGUGAUGUAACGGUUGAUGAGAAUGGAUCUGUUUCUAAACCAGUUGAUGUGGUGGAAAAUGGUUGUUAGAUAGAUUAGUCGAUGCUGCUCACGGCUUGAGCACAAACACAACAAGAGAGAAGGAUUCUCUUGAAAACGAGUGCGGGGAGCUUUGAAGCAAGGAGGAGCUUUAGUACCUAUGACCGAGAACUGUUUCUUUUCCCUUAGAAAUUAAAAUCAAUUUUGUUUGUUUUCACAUGUCUUUACAAUUUUCUGUUUUUUCGCUUUUUCAUUUUCUGUUGAUGCUGUUACCCUACAAAAUUGGUUAAUAUGACCUACAAAUAGUGGGAAGUAGUAGGAAAAAGGAGAUAAAACAGGGUGGUUUUGUUUUCCUUUCUGAUGAAAGUCUUUUCUUUACCGUUUAUGGAUUCAAACUUGCUAUGUUUGACUUCUUUAGUAGAAGGUCUCUUUUCGUCUU